rnacentral:misc_RNA from 1 species
AUCUUCGUGAUGUAGAUUAAUAUCACCUUUUCCUUUUCUAUUUUUAAUUUCUUUUUAUUCUUAUUUUUCCGCCCCCAUGCCCCGAUGUGAGUCGAUGACCUGUACCGGGUGAGCUAUUCCCCGUAAAAAAUAACAAUAAAAAUAACAAUAAUAAUAUAAACAAUUGAAAUUGAAAAAUUGAAUAAUAAUAUUGUGAGAUAUCUUUCGUUGAGGGAGGCCUUAUAUAAAAUUAUUAAGGCAUUGGCGAAUAACACAUAGUGAAAAAAAUUACACAAUUUAAGAUAAUUAAUAAUAUUAUAUAAUAUUAUAGAGUAACUUUAUCAUUUUUAGACCGUUUAAAAAAUAAAUAUAAGGUAAAUACUAUUCCCUGACACUGGGAGCGUUGGCUCUACUGUCCCCCAUGUAAACACAGCAGCUGAGUUGUAACUUGAGAUGUUACAACAAAACUUGGGGAAAUUGAGCUGCUCCAUAACAGCUGAAAAUGAUAACUGGCGCAUCGAACGAAAGCUGUCACCAGCACUAUCACCAAUGCCACCACCACUACUAGCACCACCACCUAUGGCAAGAUGAGUAACGACUAAACCCUUGAGAAAUUAACAACUGGAUCAUGGAAACACUGCUGUUACAGAGCAGUCCAGGGCAGCAGCACACAUAGCAGAGCAGUCCAGGGCAGCAGCAUGCACAGAGCAGAGCCGUCUAGGACAGCAGCAUGCACAGGGCAGAGCCGUCCAGGGCAGCGGGCAGCAGCCAGCAUGCACAGGGCAGAGCCAUCCAGGGCAGCAGCCAGCAAGCAAGCACAGGGGAGUCCAGGGUGGCAGUAGCAAGCAAGUACAGGGCAGUGGCCAGUAAGCACAGUCUAGGGCAGCAUGGCACUCCAGUGUUCAGAACAACAUUUCUGUACAAAAUAAAAUGUAAAAUUAA